UCCAGUUUAUCACCGGCAGUCUUCCUAGAGUGCCCACCCUAAGUGAUGGCAACUAAGAAUAAAGGUUGCGCUCGUUGCGGGACUUAACCCAACACUUCACAGCACGAGCUGACGACAGCCAUGCAGCACCUGUGUAACGGUCCCUUGCGGGAAGACGCACUUUCAUGCGCUGUCCAAUACAUUUCAAGCCUGGGUAAGGUUCUUCGCGUAGCCUCGAAUUAAACCACAUGCUCCACCGCUUGUGCGGGUCCCCGUCAAUUUCUUUGAGUUUCAGUCUUGCGACCGUACUCCCCAGGUGGUGGAUUUAAUGCGUUAGCGUCGGCACUGGAGGGAUCAACACCCCCAACACCUAAUCCACAUCGUUUACGGCAAGGACUAC
rnacentral:misc_RNA from 1 species